GGUCGUACAAGAUGGAAUUGGAUUUAAUUUUUAAAAAUAGUGACAAUAAGGUAUAAAUUCUCGAGUUGCAUAAUAAGUCAUUUAAAACAUUUCGCAAAUAGUUUUAUUUGUUUUUGAAAAAACCGUUUCAUAAAUGGACCUUCUGUAAACACUUAUAUACCCAAAUGAGGAAGGACAAAGAAGGCUCUCCUUUUAUAUUAACAUUUUUUAGGCUAAAAUAAUCUUUGUGAAGGCGCGAUAUGGAUUUAAUAAUAUGAUGGUGAGGCCGGACUGGAAGACCCCUUUGACUCCAAAUGUCCUAUAGAGGAUCUCUUAGAUGGUAAAUGCGUUGUGUCAAAUUCGGAUCUCAGAUGUCCAACCAAAAACAUUUCAAAAUUGUCCAUUUAUUACUAAUAUUGACCGAGCUUAGAAUGUUGACAAAGUUGGGGGUGGGAAAUCGAUUUUUUCGAUAAAUGUUAAGGUAUAAAAAUCCCCGACUUGCAUAAUAAGUCGUUUCAAACAUUUCGCAAAUAAUUGUAUUAAUUUUUGAAAAUAACCGUUUCAUAAAUGGACCUUCUCUAAACACUUAUAUACCCAAAUGAGGAAGAACAAAGAAGAUGAAGAUGCCAUGGCAUGGUUGAUAUGUAGAGAGAGGUAGACAUCUGCAUAAAACUGCCGCUCGACACUGCAUCCUGAAACUAAACGCUCUUUUGACGUAAACACCAGUCAAUCAAACCAAUUCAAUUUACUACCGUGUAUGUUUACCGAAAACGAAAUAUAAUGGACUGUGUAUUAUUUUGACAUUAAUUAUCCGAUCAUUCCUAUGACAGCUGUAUAGUGAAGCUCCUUUUUAGUGGUGAAAAAGACGCGUUAAAGGUUAUGAUUUUCGUAAAUGAAAAGUAAAUGUUUUAUUAAUAUUGUAGAAGACACAUGUGAGGAAAAGGCGUGAAUCUAUUUGCUUACACAUUUAAAUUUGCUUAAUCGUAGGAACGCAAAUUCAAUUUGAAAACUAAAAUAAAUAGUUUGUAAUUUAGCGCCCACAUUUUAAAUAUUUUAGAAAAAAUUUAAUGAGAUUGUGUUAUUAUCAAUAUCAAUCGUCAUGCCAAAAACUAUUGUAAUCGGACGAUUUACUUAAAAGUUAUAGCCAAAUAAUAAUCAAGAUUUUGCAAAUUCAAUGAGAUUGUUCACCACAUGUCGUAGGCCAGGUGUGUUUACCAAUACGAGGCAAAGCUGCAAGAGGCGCCGUUAGUUGGUGCUAUAGGCUUGGUGACGCUAGGUUGCGCUAGGUGGCGCAAGGUGGCGCUAUAGGUGUGAUAUUAAAAAAAAAGCUGAUUCGCCGGAAGCAUAUCUUCAUCCCUCUCGCACUCCCUUUAGCUGAAUGACGGGUAUCUAAUAGUCGAGGCCAUCGACUAUAGCGUUUUCUCAUGUUUUCAUUAGUUUUCCACCUGGAUUAGAUUUAUUCGCACAUUAUCUUUGUUCAAUCAAAAGCCCUUUUAAAUUUUCCAUUAAAUUUAUGUAUUUAAAUAAAAAGCAACCAUUACCAGUAUA